UACGUAGGUGGCAAGCGUUGUCCGGAUUAUUGGGUUUAAAGGGUGCGUAGGCGGUCUUUUAAGUCAGUGCUGAAAUACUCCAGCUUAACUGGAGGGGUGGCAUUGAUACUGGAAGACUUGAGUGCAGUCGAGGUAGGCGGAAUUGACGGUGUAGCGGUGAAAUGCUUAGAUAUCGUCAAGAACACCGAUAGUGAAGACAGCUUACUAGGCUGCAACUGACGCUGAGGCACGAAAGUGUGGGGAUCAAACAGG
rnacentral:rRNA from 1 species